GGGCGUAAAGACGCAUGCAGGUGGUUUGUUUAAGUUCAGAUGUGAAAGACCCGGGGCGUCAACCUCGGAAUAGCAUUUGUAAACUAGGCAGACUAGAGUACUGUAGAGGGGGGUAGGGAAUUUCUAGGUGUAGCGGUGAAAUAGCGUAGAGAUCUGAAGGAAUACCGGUGGCGAAGGCGGCCCCCUCGGACAGAUACUGACACUCAGAUGCGAAAGCGUGGGGAGCAAACAGGAUUAGAUACCCCUGGUAG
rnacentral:rRNA from 1 species